ACGGAGGGUGCAAGCGUUGCUCGGAAUUACUGGGCGUAAAGCGCACGCAGGCGGCGUGCCAAGUCGAGUGUGAAAUCCCUGGGCUCAACCCAGGAACUGCACUCGAAACUGGCACACUUGAGUCCGAGAGAGGGUGGUGGAAUUCCUGGUGUAGAGGUGAAAUUCGUUGAUAUCAGGAGGAACACCGGCGGCGAAGGCGGCCACCUGGCUCGGUACUGACGCUCAUGUGCGAAAGCGUGGGGAGCAAACAGG
rnacentral:rRNA from 1 species